AUAACGACUCUCGGCAACGGAUAUCUCGGCUCUCGCAUCGAUGAAGAACGUAGCGAACUGCGAUACUUGGUGUGAAUUGCAGAAUCCCGUGAACCAUCGAGUCUUUGAACGCAAGUUGCGCCCGAAACCUUUGGUCGAGGGCACGUUAGCCUGGGUGUCACA
rnacentral:rRNA from 1 species